rnacentral:rRNA from 1 species
UACGGGGGGUGCAAGCGUUGUUCGGAAUUACUGGGCGUAAAGGGCUCGUAGGCGGCCAACUAAGUCAGACGUGAAAUCCCUCGGCUUAACCGGGGAACUGCGUCUGAUACUGGAUGGCUUGAGUUUGGGAGAGGGAUGCGGAAUUCCAGGUGUAGCGGUGAAAUGCGUAGAUAUCUGGAGGAACACCGGUGGCGAAGGCGGCAUCCUGGACCAACACUGACACUGAGGAGCGAAAGCCAGGGGAGCAAACGGG